ACGCACGCUGGCGGCGUGCUUCACCCAUGCCAGUCGCACGGAAAGGCCCUGCUUUUGUGAGGUGCUCGAGUGGCGAACGGGUGAGUAACACGUGAGUAACCUGCCCUUGACUUUGGGAUAACUUCAGGAAACUGGGGCUAAUACCGGAUAGGAGCUCCUGCUGCAUGGUGGGGGUUGGAAAGUUUCGGCGGUUGGGGAUGGACUCGCGGCUUAUCAGCUUGUUGGUGGGGUAGUGGCUUACCAAGGCUUUGACGGGUAGCCGGCCUGAGAGGGUGACCGGCCACAUUGGGACUGAGAUACGGCCCAGACUCCUACGGGAGGCAGCAGUGGGGAAUAUUGCACAAUGGGCGGAAGCCUGAUGCAGCAACGCCGCGUGCGGGAUGACGGCCUUCGGGUUGUAAACCGCUUUCGCCUGUGACGAAGCGUGAGUGACGGUAAUGGGUAAAGAAGCACCGGCUAACUACGUG
rnacentral:rRNA from 1 species